rnacentral:rRNA from 1 species
UACAGAGGGGGCAAGCGUUGUUCGGAAUUACUGGGCGUAAAGGGCGCGUAGGCGGCCUUCUAAGUCGAACGUGAAAUCCCCGGGCUCAACCCGGGAACUGCGUCCGAUACUGGAAGGCUUGAAUCCGGGAGAGGGAUGUGGAAUUCCAGGUGUAGCGGUGAAAUGCGUAGAUAUCUGGAGGGACACCGGUGGCGAAGGCGACAUCCUGGACCGGUAUUGACGCUGAGGCGCGAAAGCCAGGGGAGCAAACGGG